rnacentral:rRNA from 1 species
UACGUAGGGGCUAGCGUUGUCCGGAUUUAUUGGGCGUAAAGAGCGUGUAGGCGGCUUGGUAGGUCCGCUGUGAAAACUCGAGGCUCAACCUCGAGAUGUCGGCGGAAACCACUUGGCUAGAGUCCGGAAGAGGCGAGUGGAACUCCUGGUGUAGCGGUGGAAUGCGCAGAUAUCAGGAAGAACACCGACGGCGAAGGCAGCUCGCUGGGACGGUACUGACGCUGAGGCGCGAAAGCGUGGGGAGCGAACAGG